GACGAACGCUGGCGGCGUGCCUAACACAUGCAAGUCGAACGGUCCGGCACUCAACCGACCCUCAGUCUAACUGUAGGGGAAGUUGAGUGCCGGGUAGUGGCGGACGGGUGAGUAACGCGUGGGCAACCAACCCUGUACAGUGGGAUAACACCGGGAAACCGGUGCUAAUACCGCAUGACACCUAUAUGGUGCAUACCGUAUAGGUUAAAGGAUUUAACCGGUACAGGACGGGCCCGCGUCCCAUUAGCUAGUUGGUGAGGUAACGGCCCACCAAGGCGACGAUGGGUAGCCGACCUGAGAGGGUGACCGGCCACACUGGGACUGAGACACGGCCCAGACUCCUACGGGAGGCAGCAGUGGGGAAUAUUGCGCAAUGGGGGGAACCCUGACGCAGCGACGCCGCGUGAGCGACGAAGGCCUUCGGGUCGUAAAGCUCUGUUCUUGGGGACGAAGGAAAUGACGGUACCCAAGGAGAAAGCCCCGGCUAACUACGUG
rnacentral:rRNA from 1 species